GUUUUUCUCUUUUGCUGUCCAAGUCCUCAUCCCAUUCAAUCAGGAGGACAAUAGCAUUCCUUAGAGGAGUAAGGAUUGUGAGUAAUCUUUAGUUUGUUUGCCUUACCCUGAUUCCAUUCCUAUGUCCCAGAAUUUCCUUUUUCCCACCCAGCUCUGCAACAACAAUCAAUCUGUGGCUAAACUUCCAUUUCUUUUGGACCAACUAAUACCCCUCCUCUCUCCACUUCCUCCUUAGGGCCUUGGACAGGAGCCCUUUAAUUGCUCUAGACUUAAAAAAAAAAAAAGGAAAAAGAAAAUCAGGGACCAGCCCCUGCAUACCAGGAAUGCCAGUGGCUUUGUUAGCUAUGAGGGCACUGAAUUAGCACUGCCCUCUAAAUCCCAGAGCAGGUGGACGAUAUCUAAUUGGCAUUCAGUAUGCCAAGGUUCCUUAGGGGAAUUUCUGAUUUAAAAUAAAGGUCAGUGCAAAAGAAGGAACACUGAUAGAAAGAUGACUACUACUACUACUACUUCUUCUUCUUCUUCUUCUUCUUCUUCUUCUUCUUCUUCUUCUUCUUCUUCUUCUUCUUCUUCUUAAGAUGACUACUCCUCCUCCUCCUCCUCCUCCUUCUUCCUCCUCCUCCUCCUCCUCCUCCUCCUCCUUCUCUUUCUUCUUCUUUUUUCCAUGGUGUGAACUUCCUGAAAUGGUCUGAGAAUCAGAUGAGCUGGCUUCUAGUCUCUGCUCUGGCUCUGGCUCUGGCUCACUGGCUACAAGUAAAGGCCAUCCGUACAAUUCAGAUUUUGGUCCUUUCCUGUCUGUGUCUAGGCCUUUCCUAGGUCCCACUUCCUAAAUAAAUAUUUAUUUUUUUUAAGAGAGAAAGGGACCUCAAAUCAUCCAGGCACUAUCACGGUAAGCUCUCCCCAACAUUCCUGUGUACAAAUCACUCUUUGUACUGCUAAAUCAUAAGAUUUAUUAAUUAGCUUGGUUGUAAAUAUGCAUCUAGGGAAAGAUUUUCUGAGAAUUUUUGAUGAAAAUUUGUUAUGCUUUUAAAACCUUAAUUAUAGAGAGCUAAAUAAAGUUCAGCAGAAUGUUUAUUCAAACUAUUAUAUUUGUCCAGUGUAUGUAUGUGGUCUUUUUUUUUAAAGAUUUAUUUAUUUAUUAUAUGUAAGUACACUGUAGCUGUCUUCAGACACACCAGAAGAGGGAGUCAGAUCUCAUUAGGGAUGGUUGUGAGCCACCAUGUGGUUGCUGGGAUUUGAACUCAGGACCUUUGGAAGAGCAGUCGGGUGCUCUUACCUGCUGAGCCAUCUCACCAGCCCGUGUGUGGUCUUUUUGUGAAUUAAGAAAGGACCUAGAGGGGUUAGAGAGAUGUCUUACUGGUUCAAAGCACUGGCUGUUCUUGAAGAGGACCCAGGUUUGAUUCCCAACACCCACAUGACAGCUCACAGCAUCUGUUACUCCAGUCCCAGAGGAUCUGAUGCCUUCUCCUGGUCUUCCUGGGCAUUAGGCAUAUACAUAAUGUACAGAUACACAUUUAAGCAUUCAUACAUACAAAAUAAGUAAAUUUACUAAAAGACCUAGAUGUGAAAGUCUAGCUGACUAUAAUGAUUACACAAUAAAUAUUUUACACAAUGGUGCUUGAGAGCUAUUAAUGAAUAGUGAAAUUAAUGUAAUAAGUUGCUAUCAUCCUUUUGAUGCCAUGUAGGAAUGCAGAAACGGGUUCCUUUUCUCUGUUGAUUAAAGAAUUAAAAGGCAGAAAAAGCUUGGCAUUCAAGCAAAGCCAAUGUUUAUUCAAAGGAGACAAUUUUAUUAGAGU
rnacentral:lncRNA from 1 species